CCUACGGGAGACAGCAGUGGGGAAUAUUGGGCAAUGGACGCAAGUCUGACCCAGCAACGCCGCGUGAAGGGAGAAGGCUUUCGGGUUGUAAACUUCUUUUAAAGGGGAAGAGCAGAAGACGGUACCCCUUGAAUAAGCCACGGCUAACUACGUGCCAGCAGCCGCGGUAAUACGUAGGUGGCAAGCGUUGUCCGGAUUUACUGGGUGGAAAGGGCGUGCAGCCGGAGAGACAAGUCAGAUGUGAAAUCCACGGGCUCAACUCGUGAACUGCAUUUGAAACUGUUUCCCUUGAGUGUCGGAGAGGUAAUCGGAAUUCCUUGUGUAGCGGUGAAAUGCGUAGAUAUAAGGAAGAACACCAGUGGCGAAGGCGGAUUACUGGACGAUAACUGACGGUGAGGCGCGAAAGCGUGGGGAGCAAACAGGAUUAGAUACCCCUGUAGUC
rnacentral:rRNA from 1 species